rnacentral:rRNA from 1 species
AGGACGAACGCUGGCGGCGUGCUUAACACAUGCAAGUCGAGCGGAAAGGCCCUUCGGGGUACUCGAGCGGCGAACGGGUGAGUAACACGUGAGCAACCUGCCCUUAGCUCUGGGAUAGCUCCGGGAAACCGGAAUUAAUACCGGAUACGACCUAGGCCGACAUCGGCCGUGGUGGAAAGUUUUUCGGCUAGGGAUGGACUCGCGGCCUAUCAGCUAGUUGGUGGGGUAAAGGCCUACCAAGGCGACGACGGGUAGCCGGCCUGAGAGGGCGACCGGCCACACUGGGACUGAGACACGGCCCAGACUCCUACGGGAGGCAGCAGUGGGGAAUCUUGCGCAAUGGGCGAAAGCCUGACGCAGCGACGCCGCGUGGGGGAUGAAGGCCUUCGGGUUGUAAACCCCGUUUCAGCAGGGACGAAGCGAAAGUGACGGUACCUGCAGAAGAAGCGCCGGCUAACUACGUGCCAGCAGCCGC